rnacentral:rRNA from 1 species
UGGAGGGCAAGUCUGGUGCCAGCAGCCGCGGUAAUUCCAGCUCCAGUAGCGUAUAUUAAAGUUGUUGCAGUUAAAAAGCUCGUAGUUGGAUCUGGGUCGUAUUGCUACGUGCCGUUGGUCGUAUCGUUGUCCUAGUCACGACUAGGAUACGUUCGUGUGACGGAGUCGUGGUGGUACCGCCUUUUUGCUGUGUCUGUGUACACAGGUGCUGGCAGUUUGUUCUGCUGGCAUGCUUCCGCGUGCCUUUAAACGGGUGUCGGGGGCGGACAGCACGUUUACUUUGAACAAAUUUGAGUGCUCAAAGCAGGCUUAUGCCUGAAAAUUCAAGCAUGGAAUAAUGAAAUAGGACUUCGGUUCUAUUUUGUUGGUUUUCGGAUCCGAAGUAAUGGUUGAGAGGGACAGACGGGGGCAUUUGUAUGGA